UACGUAGGCAGCAAGCGUUUGUUCGGAAUUACUGGGCGUAAAGCGUGCGUAGGCGGUUCGUUAAGUCUGUUGUGAAAGCCCCGGGCUCAACCUGGGAAUGGCAAUGGAUACUGGCGAGCUAGAGUGUGUCAGAGGAUGGUGGAAUUCCCGGUGUAGCGGUGAAAUGCGUAGAGAUCGGGAGGAACAUCAGUGGCGAAGGCGGCCAUCUGGGACAACACUGACGCUGAGGCACGAAAGCGUGGGGAGCAAACAGG
rnacentral:rRNA from 1 species